rnacentral:rRNA from 1 species
UACAGAGGUCCCGAGCGUUGUUCGGAUUCACUGGGCGUAAAGGGUGCGUAGGUGGUGAGGUAAGUCGGAUGUGAAAUCUCCGGGCUCAACCCGGAAAUGGCAUUGGAAACUACCUUGCUAGAGGAUUUGAGGGGGGAUUGGAAUACUUGGUGUAGCAGUGAAAUGCGCAGAUAUCAGGAGGAACACCGGUGGCGAAGGCGGGUCUCUGGGCCGUAACUGACGCUGAGGAGCGAAAGCGUGGGGAGCGAACAGG